ACAAGUCCCGAUUAAUUUCAUUUUUAGCUUGCAAUUAAUUGAUAUAUAUAUAUAUAUAUAUAGAAUCAGUAGGAUUCUUCUUCAGCAAAAAUAUGAAUCAGUCUGAGAUGAUUCUUCAAAAUACACUCCCUGAUGAUAUUGAUCUCAACAUAGCUUCUUUUCUCCAGGUUCUUGCUCUAAAUUUUGGCGGGAGUUGUGUUCUACUGAUUAUCUUUGGGUUUCUCUAUCUAAAGAUAGAUGUCCUGCUUUGGGUAUUUCUUCAGAAUCACCAAUUCCUUUGAUUCUAAAUAACAGCAAUACAGGAUCAUCAUCACUAUCAUCCAAUGAAAAUAUCCAGGUACAAAAUUCGUCUGCUAAGGGAUGGAGGAGAUUUUACAUAAACAAACAUGGUGAUAUGGCUAGUAGAGCUAGUAAUAUUAUUAAGUUUGUAGAAGAAGGCACUAGCCCAUCAAAUUUCUUGAGGUUGGGGAUUUUGUGAAAGCAGUUCAGGACUUAUCUUUGAUGGAUUUUGGGCUUAAAGAUGUUCUCAUGUUCUUCUUCUCGUCCAAACAGAAUGUGUUGGUUAACCUCGCCGGCUUGCACUACUGCAUGUUUUGGCUUAAUGUAUCGACUGAAGAUGCCAUUGCCGCUCUUAGGAAUUGUAGCAUACAAGAGCGAGAACUCUGUGUGAGUUGGUGGAAACUAGGAAGAUGGUUUUACGGAUUUCAUAUGCGUGAUGAAUCCAACAUCCGAAGGGUGUCUUUAGGAGAUCUUGCAUUAGCAAAAGAAAAUGAAGUUCUCGCGGUACUCUGUAGAGGAGCAAUACAUGAGGUGUUGCGCGUUCAGAUCUCUAUCCCUCCUCCUGCUUGCAUCACUUCCCUUCAUGCUCAAUAGUGGCUGCAUCCCAUCCAGGUACGCUAAUAUGUCUGAUAUGCAAUUUAUGUACAUUGCAGUGUAAUGUUUGUCGAAGGUUCAGUUCCCAGCUAAUUUCCCGUCUCUAUAAAACUCACCUGCCUCUUGUGCAUAUAUGGUUUUCUUUUAGUCACUCGAUAUGUAUCAAUAUGCUCAAUAAAUGUAAAUAUGCUCAUUACACAUGGCUAUAGAUUCGAUCGUUCAUUUAUGGUUUUAUGUGAAUGAUUCGUAAAAUAACAAAAUCUGAAAUUUAUGUACUGUUUCAAUGUUUUAAUCGGAGUAUUUGUAUUUGAGUUGCAAGUAUUAUGCUAUUAAAUAUGAGAGGAGGUUAUCUAGAGAUUCUGCUUUUCACUCUCUAUAGACGGCAGAACAUCGAUCAGUAAGUCAUGAAGAGUAAGAGAAGUAACAUGGUAGGUAGUUGUAAGGAAAUCGUCUUUUUGAUCUGCAAAUGUAAGCAUAUACUGAACGAGGUCAGCAGAAGUGUGCAAAGUGCAACUAAAAGAGCUUACAAACUAACCCCUUGCAAAAAAAAACUUCAGAAAUGCAGAACCAAAGAGCAACAUAAAGAGGACUAUCUUGUGAAAAUACUGUCCCAGGAAGCUAUUACAUAAGCGUCUAGUUUGUAUUAGAAUGAUUCAUGGUAGAGAAUUUGGUGUCAGUCGAUCAAACGAGUAUUUGUACUAUCUAUGAAAUCUCUGAUGAACAUUUCAACAGAUUUUGUGGUUGAUUCCUUAGCAAGUGAAUACAACAAGACUGUUCUUACAUUUACAA